UACGUAGGGAGCAAGCGUUGUCCGGAAUCAUUGGGCGUAAAGCGCGCGUAGGUGGCCUCAUAAGUCCGCUGUGAAAGUCCAAGGCUCAACCUUGGAAAGCCGGUGGAUACUGUGAGGCUAGAGUACGGAAGAGGUGAGUGGAAUUCCUGGUGUAGCGGUGGAAUGCGCAGAUAUCAGGAGGAACACCAAUAGCGAAGGCAGCUCGCUGGGACGUUACUGACACUGAGGCGCGAAAGCGUGGGGAGCGAACAGG
rnacentral:rRNA from 1 species